UUUCCCCUGCGGUGUUCGACAGGAAGGAAAAUAUUUGAAGAAUCUAUAACCCUUAUUCAGGGAAGUCAGAGCCUGCCGGUUCGAACAAGCCUGCUCGACAGGAUUUUUGGACGGCAAAAAAUGACUACCCACUUUGAAAUACUGGGUUCUUUAAAUAGCCUUUCAUCGGCACAGGCGGAGGUUUC
rnacentral:other from 2 species